UACGUAGGGUGCUAGCGUUGUUCGGAAUCAUUGGGCGUAAAGCGCGUGUAGGUUGUUAGGUAAGUCGAUUGUGAAAUCCCUGGGCUCAACCGAGGAAGUGCAGUCGAAACUACCUAGCUAGAAGACGGCAGAGGAAGGUGGAAUUCCUAGUGUAGAGGUGAAAUUCGUAGAUAUUCGCAAGAACACCAGUGGCGAAGGCGGCUCACUGGCCCGGUACUGACGCUGAGGUGCGAAAGCGUGGGGAGCAAACAGG
rnacentral:rRNA from 1 species